CUCUAACAUUACAUUUGAUGCAUAAACACUUCAUAUGGGAUUUCCUCAAAGUUGUAGAUUUGUAUGUAAAUUUACAGUUAAACCUUACUGAAAAGGGGUCAUGUCAAACAUGUGAAAGUUGGAUGGAAUGGUAUGAUUACUCAUCAGAUAUUUGACCAUACUAAUUAAAAAUGCAAAUGACUUAAAGUGUACACUCCCUAUAGGUGUCAGUUAGUAUAUUUGGUGCUGAAUUCUAAAGAUAUAGUCAUGGCCCACAGGUUCACCACACUGUGGAAGAAAAAUAUUUAUUUGACCAAACAGGCAAUCAAGUGAAAUCUAUCCUCUUUAAAUAAACUGGUUCUUCAGUGUUUUCCAGUUGGUGUAAGUUGUUGUCUGGGAUGUCCCCCAGGGCUCUUUCUGCUGUUCCCUGAUUUGGUAUAGAAAGCAGCCCUGAAUGAUGGAUUACUGUGUCAUUGCAGCCAGCGAAGGAUUAAUUUGUUUCAUUGAUUUCUCUUUAGGCAGAUUGCCAGAAUUUGCUGCUUCCCACCUUUCCUCAAGACUUCUAGAAGUAAUAGACAGUAAUAGUCUAAGACAAAUCAGCCCCUUCUUGUAAAACAGAACAAGGAAACGAAGAGUCCUAGGAAAGCUAGGGCGAAUAUUCUUAUUGGCAUACAGAGGAGAACAAUUAAUAAGCUACUUUAUUGGCUUUAGAAAUACUUUUAAUUGGAAAAAUUCUGGAAUCGAUGGCAUAUAACAGAACAUGUAGAUUGUGGCCAUGGAUUUGCAUCACAGGUUGCAACAGAUGGUUUCCAUAGUUCUCUUGGAUGCUCUUCACCUGUGCCUUCAAGAGGAACCCUGGGCUUCAUUUAUGGUCAUUGCUAUGUUCUAGUAUGACACUCUACUUUUCCACUGAACUCUUCCUGCUCACGCUGAGAAGCUUGGAUAUGAUUUGGCCUUUUGUUUUUUAUAAUAAGCUAUGGUUGAGGAAGGAGCUUUGGCAGUAGAAGUAACCAACUAGCAGGUCCAUUGCCACUGUUGAAAUCAGCUGGAGACUCAUCGCUACUGACGACAGUGCAUGUCCAUCAGCUGACGUGGCAGCAGCGUGACCAGCACGGGUAGAGUAAGACUGCUCCGUGGGGGGAAGCCACUGUAAGAAGCCCCCGGCUUCUAGGAAUCUGGGAGCAAGCUUGUCUGAUAUACUGAAGGUCUUAGGUUGGACUUGCGUUACCAUACAGAUGAAAUUAGUAUGAUUUCAAUAGGAGGAUUAACUGAUGGCUCUUGCUUAUGUCAAGUUGACAAGACAAAACCAAACCAGGACAUCCGGAGACCUUUAUAGGUUCACACUGAGAUUCAUUGUACCUGGCUUUAUGUUGAGGUCUUUGAUACAUUUGGAGCUGAGUUUUGUGCAGGAUGACCUCCAUAGGGCGGCGACAGGACCCAGAUGACUACAUCUUGUGUGUCAAGUUGACUUACUAUGAGCCAGCACGAUGUCUUUUCUCAGAAUCCAUAAACUCACCAGCAAAUGAGCAAGUAAGCCCAGACAAUAUGUUUACCUGUUUAAGAGCAAAACCAAGUAUUUUCCAUAAUGGAUACACUAAAGAAGAUGCCUGUUUCAUAAGACAUGGCAGAGAGCAAAAGAUAUAAAAACGGAUGCCAUUAAAUGCGAACAAUUUUGACAAAGGUAGGCUAGGAGUCCUCCCACAAGGGCCACGCCACGUUAUUAUCACAGAAGCUGAUUCUUGGACAAACAUCUGGACAACAUAGAUUUUCAUGGACCCUAGAUUUAAUAGGAUGCUCCUAGCUACCAUUAAGAAUGCAGCAGAUCCCCUUUCCACACAGCAACAGAAGACAAAACCAAACCAAACAUUAGAGAAGAACCUCAAAUAAAAAAGAAUAACAAACGGAAAAGAAGAGCGACAUAUGCACAGCUGUGAGGAGUGAGCAUUGAAACCACACACACACGGGACAUCACCACCGCCAAAAGUGUCUCCCUUGAGACCGUCCCAGGAAGAUAACUCAAACUGUAUCAGUAGAUACUUAGGUGAACAGGUGUCUGCUUUUUCUCUGAACUUCUAUUGUUUAGAAAGAAUUGUAAUUUUUUUAGUUACGACUAUUUUAUUUUCUGUCAUUUUGCCUCUUGUGAAUAUUACGUAAAAAGAACCAUGUGCUGUGGUUUCAGUGGGAUUUUUAGCUGCAGGUUAGUAUCCUAGAGGCUUCAUCCUUACUAUGGCAGCAUUGAGGUGGGAGAGCUUUAAGACGUGCGUUCUAGAGGGAGGUGCUUGGGUCAUGCUUUGAAUACUUUAUUUUGAGCAUUUAUUUUUUUGUUGUAUGAAUACUUCUUUUUAUUGUUGAGCAAUAUUUUUACACAUCCUAAUAGUAAUGUCUCAGCAGAUAUAUGAUUUGAAAAAAAAUUCCACCUGUCAAUGGUUUCCUCUUCAUAUAGACAGUAAGUAAUGUAUUUUGAGACAAAAAUUUAUUGAUUUUUAUCAAGUAUAACUGUUUUUAUUUUUUUGUGGCUAAUUUGUUCUGUACACAUCAAAGACUCAGUUGCCACCUUUGAGGUCAUAAAGAUCUAACUCUGUUUUUUUUUCUACUAAUUGCAUAAUUAAAGCUCUUGUAUUGAGGUCAAGGAUCUAUUUUGCAUUAAUUUGUAUAAUGGUUAGAGGUGGUGGGGAUGCAUGCAGUCUCUUUAUUUUAUAUGUGGCUACCCAUUUGUCCCUGUACCAUUUGCUGAAUGUAUUUAUUUCCUGAUUGAAUGUUCUGUUCGUGCUUGUUGAACAUCAGUUGGCAGGACUGAAGAUAAAGACGGAUCAGUGGUUAAAAGCUCUUGUUGCUCUUGCAGAGGAUCUAGGUUCAAUUCCUAGCUCCCACAUGGUGCCUCGCAACUACUUGUAACUCCAGUUCCAGGGGACCUCGUCACCUCUUCUGCUCUCCCAGGCACCAGGCAGGCAUGUUGUACACAGAGAUACAUUCAGAAAAAAAAAAUGCUCAUACAUGUAAAAUAAAAUAAAUCUAAGAAAGAAAGAAAGAAAGAAAGAAAGAAAGAAAGAAAGAAAGAAAGAAAGAAAGAAAGCAAUUGGGCAGAAAGUCUGCAUCUGUUCUGGACUCAGUUCUAUUGGAUACAUGUUAUCACUAUGCCCUUAAUACGCUGUUUCUGUUAUUUUAGGUUUGUAGCAAGGUUUGAAAUUAAAUAAUGUAAAUACUCCAACCAUUUUUUGUCUUUAAGAUAUUGUUUGGGUGGUUUGAAUCCUCUGAAAUUCCAUAUGAAUUCAAGGCACUGUUUAUUUUUUUUAAGAAAAAUUGAUCUUCCUCUUAACAUUAGUUCAGAAACAGGAAUGUGUUACAAUUUGUCUUGGACUUCAUUAGUCCACAAGGUUUCAUGGUUUCCAGUGUACACAUUUUUCACUGGCAUGGUUUAGUUUAUAUAUAGUUUAUCCUUUUGAGUACUUUUGUAAGUAGAAUUAGUUUCUUAAUUUUUAUUUCAGUUUUAUUGCUACUGUAUAGAAAUAAACUUAUUUCUUAUUUAUUUUCCUAAUUUGCAGCUUCACUGAACUGAUUUAUUGACUCUAGCAGAAUCUUUUAAUUUGCCUCUGAAAAAUAUACAUGAUUUUGUAUAUGUAGAAUCAUGUCAUGUGUAAAUAGAAAUAGUUUUACUUCUCCAUACCUGUAAAGGGCAUUGAUUUGGAUUUUUUUUUUAGUUUAUUUUUUCUGGGGUAAUUGCUUUGGCUUGAGCUUCCUAUAAAAUGUUAAAUAGCAAUUAUUUUGUUCCUGA